rnacentral:rRNA from 1 species
CUAACGUAAAGAAACCUGCCUCAUAGACUGGGACAACUAUUGGAAACGAUAGCUAAUACCGGAUAACAGCAUUAACUGCAUGGUUGAUGUUUGAAAGUUGGUUUUGCUAACACUAUGAGAUGGCUUUGCGGUGCAUUAGCUAGUUGGUGGGGUAAAGGCCUACCAAGGCGACGAUGCAUAGCCGACCUGAGAGGGUGAUCGGCCACACUGGGACUGAGACACGGCCCAA